UGCACUACAAACCCAAUCGCUACUUCAAGUGUGAGAACUGCCUCCUGCGCUUCCGCACGCACCGCUCGCUCUUCAAGCACCUGCAUGUUUGCGCGGAGCAUGCGCAGAGCCCAGCCCCGCCGCCACCCCCGGCCCUGGACCGAGAGCCGCCCGCGCCGGAGCGCCCCCCGGAGGUUGACCCCGCAUCAGCGCCGGGCCUGCCGUUCCCGCUGCUGGAACCCUUCACGACCCCCGCCCCUGCCCCCACCGGACCGUUCCUGCCCUACUUGAACCCUGCGCCCUUUGGCCUAAGCCCCCCGCGCCUGCGCCCCUUCCUGGCCGCUGCACCCGGGCCGCCGGCUUCCAGCGCCGCCGUCUGGAAAAAGAGCCAAGGUGCUGGCAGCAGCCCCCGAAGACCCCAGGGCGGCUCCGACGCGCCCUCAGGUGCGUGCAGGGCACGCGGCCCCGAGCCGCAUCGUGUGG
rnacentral:lncRNA from 1 species